UGGGGAAUAUUGGACAAUGGGCGCAAGCCUGAUCCAGCCAUGCCGCGUGGGUGAAGAAGGCCUUCGGGUUGUAAAGCCCUUUUGUUGGGAAAGAAAUCCUGUCGGCUAAUACCCGGCGGGGAUGACGGUACCCAAAGAAUAAGCACCGGCUAACUUCGUGCCAGCAGCCGCGGUAAUACGAAGGGUGCAAGCGUUACUCGGAAUUACUGGGCGUAAAGCGUGCGUAGGCGGUUCGUUAAGUCUGUCGUGAAAGCCCUGGGCUCAACCUGGGAAUUGCGAUGGAUACUGGCGACCUAGAGUACGGUAGAGGAUGGUGGAAUUCCCGGUGUAGCGGUGAAAUGCGUAGAGAUCGGGAGGAACACCCGUGGCAAAGGCGGCCAUCUGGACCAGUACUGACGCUGAGGCACGAAAGCGUGGGGAGCAAACA
rnacentral:rRNA from 1 species